rnacentral:rRNA from 1 species
UGAACGACUCUCGGCAACGGAUAUCUAGGCUCUCGCAUCGAUGAAGAACGUAGCAAACUGCGAUACUUGGUGUGAAUUGCAGAAUCCCGUGAACCAUCGAGUUUUUGAACGCAAGUUGCGCCCGAAGCCACUAGGCCGAGGGCACGUCUGCCUGGGCGUCACGC